UACAGAGGUCCCAAGCGUUGUUCGGAUUCACUGGGCGUAAAGGGUGCGUAGGUGGUGGGGUAAGUCUGAUGUGAAAUCUCCGAGCUCAACUCGGAAAUGGCAUUGGAUACUACUCCGCUAGAGGAUUGGAGGGGAGACUGGAAUUCUUGGUGUAGCAGUGAAAUGCGUAGAUAUCAAGAGGAACACCAGUGGCGAAGGCAGGUCUCUGGGCCACUACUGACGCUGAGAAGCGAAAGCAUGGGGAGCGAACAGG
rnacentral:rRNA from 1 species